UGCUUAACACAUGCAAGUCGAACGGCAGCACGGUCUAGCUUGCUAGACUGGUGGCGAGUGGCGAACGGGUGAGUAACGCGUAGGAAUAUGCCUUGAAGUGGGGGACAACUUGGGGAAACUCAAGCUAAUACCGCAUAAUAUCUAAGGAUGAAAGCUGGGGACCUUCGGGCCUGGCGCUUUAAGAUUAGCCUGCGUACGAUUAGCUAGUUGGUGGGGUAAGGGCCUACCAAGGCGACGAUCGUUAGCUGGUCUGAGAGGAUGACCAGCCACACUGGAACUGAGACACGGUCCAGACUCCUACGGGAGGCAGCAGUGGGGAAUAUUGGACAAUGGGGGAAACCCUGAUCCAGCAAUGCCGCGUGUGUGAAGAAGGCCUGAGGGUUGUAAAGCACUUUCAGUGGGGAGGAGGAUUGAUAGGUUAAGAGCUAAUUAAUUGGACGUUACCCACAGAAGAAGCACCGGCUAACUCCGUGCCAGCAGCCGCGGUAAUACGGAGGGUGCGAGCGUUAAUCGGAAUUACUGGG
rnacentral:rRNA from 1 species